GCGGAGGUGGUGGUAGACAGGAUUUAGGUUCCAGCGCCGCAAGGCGUGAGAGUUCGAGUCUCUCCGUCCGCACCA
rnacentral:tRNA from 1 species